GUAGCGUAUAUUAAAGUUGUUGCAGUUAAAAAGCUCGUAGUCGAACUUCGGAUCUGGCUGGAUGGUCCGCCUUACGGUGUGUACUGUCCGGCCGGAUCUUUCCUCUUGGUGAAGCCGUAUGCCCUUUACUGGGUGUGCGGUGGAACCAGGAAUUUUACUUUGAGAAAAUUAGAGUGUUCAAAGCAGGCAUACGCCCGAAUACAUUAGCAUGGAAUAAUAGAAUAGGACGUGCGGUUCUAUUUUGUUGGUUUCUAGAGUCGCCGUAAUGAUUAAUAGGGAUAGUUGGGGGCAUUAGUAUUCAGUUGCUAGAGGUGAAAUUCUUGGAUUUACUGAAGACGAACUUAUG
rnacentral:rRNA from 1 species